UCUCAGUUCGGAUUGUAGGCUGAAACUCGCCUACAUGAAGCUGGAGUUACUAGUAAUCGCAGAUCAGAAUGCUGCGGUGAAUGCGUUCCCGGGUCUUGUACACACCGCCCGUCACACCACGGGAGGUGGAGACGCCCGAAGCCGAUUAUCUAACCUUUUGGAAGAAGUCGUCGAAGGUGGAAUCAAGAACUGGGGUGAAGUCGUAACAAGGUAGCCGUGUCGGAAGGUGAGGCUGGAUCACCUACUUUCCAAG
rnacentral:rRNA from 1 species